rnacentral:tRNA from 1 species
CGAGUUGUAGCUCAGUGGUGGAGUGCUUGCCUUGCAUGCAUGAGGCCCUGGGUUCAAUCCUCAGCACCACAU